UCUCUCUUUUUUCUCCCGUGUGUAAAAAAAUAAACAAACUGUUUCUCUGUGUGCUCUCCCACUUAUGCUAUGUCUCUAAGAAUAAACUUUGUACUUAUUUUUGUAUUCUUGAAGCAUUCUUGCUUUCAAAUGGGGGCUAGAGCCAGGGGAUCAUUGCUUCCAGCCUCUAGUCACUGGUGGUCCAGUGGUGAGGAUUUCUAUUUUUUCACUCAGGUUACCCAGUUUCAGUUCCUGGGCAGGGAACUAAGAUCUCUUAAGACCACUCCCUGCUCUCUCUCCAAAAUCAAGCUGGUGAAAAGAAGCCAAGAAAUGAAAGAUUUUGAGUAGAUUCUAAUAUUCUGUGGCCUCUAUUAUAUAACUUUCACCUUGCUGCUGCUUCUGCUUUUUCUGUAGAAAAAGACCUUGUCUUUCUAUGUCUUCAUUUGAUGAAAAGUAGUGUGCUCCCCACCACCAGGAAUUUCCUUCACGUUGCUACAGUGUAGCAUUCCACACAGAACAUCAUCUUGUUCACAUUGUACAGGUUUUUCUCCUCCUCAUAUCACCAUCACACCACAGUUUCCAAAUUGGUCACCCCUGACAGUCAACACGUCAUAGCAUGCUGGGACAGCCUGUUUUAUGUCAUAGCCAAAGGAGGGCUUACCAGUAUAAAUCACAGUCACUACAGUUUGCCCUCACACAAACAGCUGAUGCUGAACAUGGGGUUCCAUCCUGGAUAUAAGUGUCAGUUGGACAAUCAUGUGUCUCCCUGUUACAGUAUUCUGGUAGAUCACAAAUACCAAGAGCAUCUCUGUACAUAUAUCCAGGUUGAGCAUAUUUACACUUCAUGCAGCAAUCUCCAUGAUCACGGUCACUGCCAAGGCUGAGGAUACAACUGGUUUCACAACAUGAGACCUCACUACAGUCUUUUAAGGUGCCACAGUCACAUCCUUCAAAAUUAUCUGUUAUCUUGUCACCACACCGUCUAGCUACAUAAGGAAAAUUAUUAUAUGCUAUAUUUAGUGAACUCAAACAAGUUCAAACUCCCACACAUGCAACCAUUGAUGAAUAGCCUCAAAAGUACAAUUGCUUAUCAUAUCUAGAAGACCAGGAUUAGGAGCCAUGAGGCACUGAUAUCUUUGAAAACACCAACAACCUGGAACAUCGUGAAAUGCACCCAUAAGACCUGUUCCAUGUGCUCCAACAGUAGCAGCUAAAAAUAUGUGAUAUCUUACGACAUAAACAUAUGAUGCUCCCCGAUUGUGGUUGCAUAUUCCAUUAUGGCUGCUAUAAUAGGAGGUCCCAGCGAUUUUAUGUCCUGUUAAAAGCAAUGAAGUAUCAUGUGGUAUAUUUGCAUGAAAAUUCUGAGAUUUCCAUAAACCAAACUGAGCCUUUGCCUCUGCAGGGCUUCUAAACCUUUGGAGAUUCAUCUGAUCUCUAUGACUCCAUAUGCACAAAGCACGUAUGAAAACCUGAAGUUGACCCUGGUAACAAAUGGUGUGCAAUAUGUUGUUUAUAAUCACUAUAUUCUCUAUUAUAUGCGUCUCAUUACUGUUCUGAACAACUAAUGAGUGAGAAAUUGUGUAGUGAACUUUUAAGGCUUUUCUGUGUGGCCACCACAGAUACACAGGGCCUGCUCUAGGCAUUUCAGAAAUCAUUGCCUCCUCAUACUCUUGAUUUGUAUCUUUCUCUUCAGCCUCACAUUUCUCAUCCUCUGCUGCUAUUUUCUGUGUCACAAGCUGAGAAAUCAGAUGCUCAAAUUUGGAAGAAGCCUCCAAUGGUUUGAUUUCACUGGAAACAAGCAAACAGUGCUGGACAGAUGAAUGGCAGACACACGGGGCUAUUCAUUCAGUGGGAAAAUCGUCAGUAAAUCUGAACGAGUUUCUGCCAUCAAGGUUUCAGGAAUCUCCAGCCAGAUUCACCACUUUGGUGGGGGGAGCCUUGGAAACUGCCCUCUCAAGACUCAGGCACUCCAGCAUCCUACGCCUCUGAACCACUUGAAGACCUUAAAUUCCUCUUCAAAAGGACCAAAGAUAAGUAACAAUCGAACUCUUUAAAUAAAUACAUGAUCAACUGCC